CCUACGGGAGGCAGCAGUGGGGAAUAUUGGACAAUGGGGGGAACUCUGAUCCAGCGACGCCGCGUGAGUGAAGAAGUAUUUCGGUAUGUAAAGCUCUAUCAGCAGGGAAGAAAGAAAUGACGGUACCUGACUAAGAAGCCCCGGCUAACUACGUGCCAGCAGCCGCGGUAAGACGUAGGGGGCAAGCGUUAUUCGGAUUUACUGGGUGUAAAGGGAGCGUAGACGGGGGAGCAAGUCAGAAGUGAAAGGCGGGGGCCCAACCCCAGGAAUGCUUUGGAAACUGGAUUGCUGGAGUGUAGGAGAGGUAAGUGGAAUUCCUAGUGUAGCGGUAGAAUGCGUAGAGAUUAGGAGGAACACCAGUGGCGAAGGCGGCUUACUGGACUAUAACUGACGUUGAGGCUCGAAAGCGUGGGGAGCAAACAGGAUUAGAUACCCUAGUAGUC
rnacentral:rRNA from 1 species